rnacentral:lncRNA from 1 species
UGAAGUAGUGGACUUUUGUGUUCUUACAAAGUGACCUCAAAAGUUUGUGUUUUGCAACAUAGCCCAAAAAGUUGUGGUUAUUGCAUGACCCAAAUUAGUUGAGAACAAAAUAGUUUUGUAUCUUUAAAUGAGAAUUGGAUUUUCAUUUCAUUUACCUCCAUUUAAAUCAAUUCCAUGGAAACAAAAACCAAAUGAAAAUGUUGCAUUCAAGUUUAAUUAGUUAAAGCGUUAAUUAAUUAAAGAAAUGGUGAUUAUGAACCUAAGCCUACGAUAAUUGAGCUAUGUGAAAGGCCAUCUCAAAUUUGUUUGAACCAUGGGAAUGUGUAGAUUAGAUUUUGGUUGUAAUUUGAUAUGAUCAAAUGUUGUAAAAGAGCAUAAGCUCUUCUUUACUUUGAAGUACUCAUUUCUUGUUUUAUUUGAUAUGCAUGAAAUUGGAGUAGUUGGGUCCAACGCCCAAUAGGAAAAACACGCCU